GGCGGCGUGCCUAAUACAUGCAAGUCNGAGCGAAUCUGAGGGAGCUUGCUCCCANAGAUUAGCGGCGGACGGGUGAGUAACACGUGGGUAACCUGCCUGUAAGAUUGGGAUAACUCCGGGAAACCGGAGCUAAUACCGGAUAACAUUUUGAACCGCAUGGUUCAAAAAUUGAAAGAUGGUUUCGGCUAUCACUUACAGAUGGACCCGCGGCGCAUUAGCUAGUUGGUGAGGUAACGGCUCACCAAGGCAACGAUGCGUAGCCGACCUGAGAGGGUGAUCGGCCACACUGGGACUGAGACACGGCCCAGACUCCUACGGGAGGCAGCAGUAGGGAAUCUUCCGCAAUGGACGAAAGUCUGACGGAGCAACGCCGCGUGAACGAUGAAGGCCUUCGGGUCGUAAAGUUCUGUUGUUAGGGAAGAACAAGUACCAGAGUAACUGCUGGUACCUUGACGGUACCUAACCAGAAAGCCACGGCUAACUACGUGCCAGCAGCCGCGGUAAUACGUAGGUGGCAAGCGUUGUCCGGAAUUAUUGGGCGUAAAGCGCGCGCAGGCGGUUUCUUAAGUCUGAUGUGAAAGCCCACGGCUCAACCGUGGAGGGUCAUUGGAAACUGGGGAACUUGAGUGCAGAAGAGGAGAGUGGAAUUCCACGUGUAGCGGUGAAAUGCGUAGAGAUGUGGAGGAACACCAGUGGCGAAGGCGACUCUCUGGUCUGUAACUGACGCUGAGGCGCGAAAGCGUGGGGAGCGAACAGGAUUAGAUACCCUGGUAGUCCACGCCGUAAACGAUGAGUGCUAAGUGUUAGAGGGUUUCCGCCCUUUAGUGCUGCAGCAAACGCAUUAAGCACUCCGCC
rnacentral:rRNA from 1 species